rnacentral:rRNA from 1 species
UACGUAGGGUGCGAGCGUUGUCCGGAAUUAUUGGGCGUAAAGGGCUCGUAGGCGGUUUGUCACGUCGGGAGUGAAAACUCAGGGCUUAACUCUGAGCCUGCUUCCGAUACGGGCAGACUAGAGGUAUGCAGGGGAGAAUGGAAUUCCUGGUGUAGCGGUGAAAUGCGCAGAUAUCAGGAGGAACACCGGUGGCGAAGGCGGUUCUCUGGGCAUUACCUGACGCUGAGGAGCGAAAGUGUGGGGAGCGAACAGG